rnacentral:rRNA from 1 species
CAGAGCCGCGGUAAUACGUAGGUGGCAAGCGUUGUCCGGAAUUAUUGGGCGUAAAGGGCUCGCAGGCGGUUUCUUAAGUCUGAUGUGAAAGCCCCCGGCUCAACCGGGGAGGGUCAUUGGAAACUGGGAAACUUGAGUGCAGAAGAGGAGAGUGGAAUUCCACGUGUAGCGGUGAAAUGCGUAGAGAUGUGGAGGAACACCAGUGGCGAAGGCAACACUCUGGUCUGUAACUGACGCUGAGGAGCGAAAGCGUGGGGAGCGAACAGGAUUAGAUACCCCCGUAGUCCCUGUCUCUUAUACA